rnacentral:rRNA from 1 species
ACGGGUGAGUGAUGUCUGGGAAACUGCCUGAUGGAGGGGGGAGUAACUACUGGAAACGGUAGCUAAUACCGCAUAACGUCGCAAGACCAAAGAGGGGGACCUUCGGGCCUCUUGCCAUCAGAUGUGCCCGGAUGGGAUUAGCUAGUAGGUGGGGUAACGGCUCACCUAGGCGACGAUCCCUAGCUGGUCUGAGAGGAUGACCAGCCACACUGGAACUGAGACACGGUCCAGACUCCUACGGGAGGCAGCAUG